CGAACCCCGGUCCUCUGGCUUGUGAAGCCAGCGCUCUAACCACUGAGCUACCGGGCAGUGUGUGUGUGUGUGUGUGUGUGUGUGUCUGUGUGUGUGCUUGCUCGUAAACUGUCCCGAAUCCUCCCUAACAUGGAGCCUUUAAUACCACGACAGGCAGGCUAAUGACAGACUAACAACCAGGGCUCUACUAACAACCUUCCCUAUACACGUCUAGCUCUCGCAUUUCAAAGGAACCCUGUACCAGCAAGACGCGGAACACAAAACAACCCAACCAACGUACAGACUACCGUAAGGUGAAUCACAUAAGAGAAUAACAAAACAAGUGAGGGUGCAAGAAACCAUCACACAUCACACCUACACGAGGCAGUCUCUAUAUAUAACAUGGUAAUCUAUUCCCAUUAAUCAUUCAGUGAUCAGGUAUGUCUGGUACUGAUUCCGGAAAUUAGAGCUAAUAACUCAACAGCUGCAGGGAUUUGGUACGUCGAUGUGUAGCUUGGGUCGAGGGAGUAAUAAACCAUUUCAUUGUG